AUUGAACGCUGGCGGCAGGCUUAACACAUGCAAGUCGAGCGGGGGAAGGUAGCUUGCUACUGGACCUAGCGGCGGACGGGUGAGUAAUGCCUAGGAAUCUGCCUAUUAGUGGGGGACAACAUCUCGAAAGGGAUGCUAAUACCGCAUACGUCCUACGGGAGAAAGCAGGGGAUCUUUGGACCUUGCGCUAAUAGACGAGCCUAAGUCGGAUUAGCUAGUUGGUGGGGUAAAGGCCUACCAAGGCGACGAUCUGUAGCGGGUCUGAGAGGAUGAUCCGCCACACUGGGACUGAGACACGGCCCAGACUCCUACGGGAGGCAGCAGUGGGGAAUAUUGGACAAUGGGGGGAACCCUGAUCCAGCCAUGCCGCGUGUGUGAAGAAGGCCUUAUGGUUGUAAAGCACUUUAAGCGAGGAGGAGGCUACUCUAGUUAAUACCUAGGGAUAGUGGACGUUACUCGCAGAAUAAGCACCGGCUAACUCUGUGCCAGCCGCCGCCGUAA
rnacentral:rRNA from 1 species